AUUGAACGCUGGCGGCAGGCCUAACACAUGCAAGUCGAGCGGAGCGGCGGACGGGUGAGUACUGCCUAGGGAUCUGCCUGUUAGUGGGGGAUACCGUCCGGAAACGGGCGCUAAUACAGCAUACGUGAAGAUGAGCCUAGGGCGGCUUAGCUAGUUGGUGGGGUAAAGGCCUACCAAGGCGACGAUCCGUAGCCGGUCUGAGAGGAUGAUCAGUCACACUGGAACUGAGACACGGUCCAGACUCCUACGGGAGGCAGCAGUGGGGAAUAUUGGACAAUGGGCGAAAGCCUGAUCCAGCCAUGCCGCGUGUGUGAAGAAGGUCUUCGGAUUGUAAAGCACUUUAAGUUGGGAGGCGUUACCAACAGAAUAAGCACCGGCUAACUUCGUGCCAGCAGCCGCGGUAAUAC
rnacentral:rRNA from 1 species